UCAGAUUUCACUGUGUAAAUUUCCUACUAGGUUAGUUUUGAAAGUUAACCAAGUGUGUGUUUGAUUUCUCCAGGCAAAAAUCAUCCUCUUUUAUUGUGUGUACAAAUAUCAAUGGAGAACCAUGAAGGAACAGCAACAGAGACAGUAUCAAAAGGACAGACCCUGAGCACCCCAAAUUUACUUAGCUUAGUGAUCACUUCCGGUUUAUUUGUUUGUCUGUUGGGUGUGGGGGGUGUGGAGAGAGAAGGCUGUUGCGCUGGCAAUGCUUCUUCAUUGCGGGUAGACCAGGAGAGGAAAAUAUCUAGGAACAUGAGCAAGUUAAUAAAUGUCAACCCAUCUCACUUUCUCUUUUGCUAAUUUUGGCAGGGCCCUGGCAAAAAUACUGCAUAUUUAAAUGCAUUACUCAUGAUCUACCCAAAACUGCAUCAUCUUUUUUUAAUGAAGUAUGUGAAAUUCUGCCUGGAUUUCACUGGAGCCUGACUGAAUUCACUAAAGUAUCUUAUCACAUAAUUCUCAGGAAUGGAGAAAUCACAUCAAAUGCAUUAGCAGAGAUGAAUCCAGAGUAUGAAGUCAAAAGUAUAAAAAAAUGUUAUGGGGAGGAAAAAGUGAUCCGGAAGAGAAGCAACCACCAGAUACUUUCUCAUCCCAGACAAAGUGAAUAGCAACCACCUUUCUGGAUGUACAACACUCGAACUGAUCUCCAACACACGCAGAGAUGAAUUGGUGAAUGGCUGCCACUUUGCUGCAUGAAGCAUUGCAUACAGGUGAGGAGGCCCAGUCUCCAGUCGGAAGCUCCAUUUGACCCUGGCUUCCCAUGGCAAGGAGUGGUGAACAUAACUGCCUCCAUCCACACGGACCCCAUCUGUCAGGAACUGCCUUUUGGCUUUCUCAGUUCCCCUCUGCAUCUGAAUUCUGUUGAAUACAUACUGGCGAGCCUCUUUUGAAGCUCCUCUAACCGCCAGGGUAGCUGAUAUACUGAGUUCAGCACACGAGUCUCAUUCAGUACUGACACCACUGCAGUCUUAUUCUGGGGGAAUGAUUUAGUCCUGCAUAAAAUUCUACAAUUUAUGGCAUAGAGUCCAAGAAUGUCCUUAUUGCAGAGUGUACAUGUUAAUAGGUAUGUGAUGUAGAUCAAGUUGUAUUUAAAGGAAAACUUUCAGCCUUAAUAUGUUAGAAAAGGAAAAAAAAUCUGAUAAUCACCUAUCAAAAUUCCAACUCAAUAAAUUAAAAAAG
rnacentral:lncRNA from 1 species